GACGAACGCUGGCGGCGUGCUUAACACAUGCAAGUCGAACGGAAAGGCCCUGCUUUUGUGGGGUGCUCGAGUGGCGAACGGGUGAGUAACACGUGAGUAACCUGCCCUUGACUUUGGGAUAACUUCAGGAAACUGGGGCUAAUACCGGAUAGGAGCUCCUGCUGCAUGGUGGGGGUUGGAAAGUUUCGGCGGUUGGGGAUGGACUCGCGGCUUAUCAGCUUGUUGGUGGGGUAGGGGCUUACCAAGGCUUUGACGGGUAGCCGGCCUGAGAGGGUGACCGGCCACAUUGGGACUGAGAUACGGCCCAGACUCCUACGGGAGGCAGCAGUGGGGAAUAUUGCACAAUGGGCGGAAGCCUGAUGCAGCAACGCCGCGUGCGGGAUGACGGCCUUCGGGUUGUAAACCGCUUUCGCCUGUGACGAAGCGUGAGUGACGGUAAUGGGUAAAGAAGCACCGGCUAACUAUGUG
rnacentral:rRNA from 1 species